rnacentral:lncRNA from 1 species
CGGCAGGGCCGCACCCGGAACCAUAGAGAUACCACCCAGACGGGCCCUCGCCCGCCAGGGGCGCUGUGGAGGCCGCGCCGCGCCCCCGGUACCGUGUUCCGCCCAGGGGCUCGCAGCGUGGACCGCGUUCCGCCGAUGUGCCGCUGCUGCGGAAAGCCCAGCCCGGCCGCCUCAUCCCUCCGUCCCUGCCCCAGAGCCGCCCGGGCUGGGACUGAGCGAACUGUCCCGGCUGGCACACGCACUGCACACAGGCGGGCUCCGAGCGGAGGGCCCGGGGAGCCCCGGCACCGCCGCCGCCGCGGCGGCCGAGCUGUGGGCACGAGGGUCGGGCAGGGCAGGGCAGCAUCGCUUCUUGGAGGAGACGGGACCUACCUGAGCUCUGGGGAAACGGGACGGGGAGAAAAGGGAAAUUACAUCGGCACUUCGAAAUCCUGGGGCGUAUCCUCUCCUGAGCAAGGGAUGGGAUGUCACAACUCCAGGUUAACGCUGGAGAGGUGGAUGGAGGGCAUGUACAAGUCCCAUCAGCUCUGUUCCCCACCACAUUUCUCAGAGAAAAACCAAAUUACUACAGAUCCUUCGGCCCGGCAGGAGAGCAAGGCCACAAGUCAAAGAAGAGGUAAAGGGGCUUCAAGUGCCCGGAAAAGCAGUAACAGCAUUAGGUCCCGUGGCUGCCCUUGCAGACUACCCCUCAUCCUAGAUAAGCACAAAAACCACCCCAACCCAACAGAUUCCAACAGCAGGUAUUCCAACAGCAAAUACUCACAGUUCAUUGCAAGACAAGUGCCAUUGUCCUGGAAAUCCCUGACCAAAGAAGUUCUCCAUUUAAUGUCCGCACCUUAGAAGGUGCUCCAGAGUGGUUGGAGGGCCUUGCUUUCAAAGGCAGACAAGGGGAGCAUGCCCAGGGGGAUGCGUGACCUGCCACAGGGAAGGAGCAGCCUCUCUUUAGCUUCUUUCUUUUUUUUUUUUUUCCUUAAAAAUUGUGAGCAUUUUGGAAAGAAAGGUUUAGACUGGGAUUUCUCACCUAAAUAAAAAGUUGAUGCAUUUCCUUGUG